rnacentral:rRNA from 1 species
GAGUGAAGCGGGAUGAGCUCAAAUUUGAAAUCUGGCUGGUUUACUAGUCCGAGUUGUAAUUUAAAGAAGCGUUUUCGGUGGCAGCCUGGGUAUAAAUCCUUUGGAAUAGGGUAUCAUAGAGGGUGAGAAUCCCGUCUUUGACCUAGUGCAUGCUACUAUGUGAUACGUUUUCAAAGAGUCGAGUUGUUUGGGAAUGCAGCUCAAAAUGGGUGGUAAAUUUCAUCUAAAGCUAAAUAUUGGCGAGAGACCGAUAGCGAACAAGUACCGUGAGGGAAAGAUGAAAAGAACUUUGAAAAGAGAGUUAAACAGUGCGUGAAAUUGUUGAAAGGGAAACGUUUGACACCAGUCAUGUGGGUGGAAAAUCAGUCUUUUGCAUUGGGGAGUUGUAAGGGUUCGGACCGCAAGGCCGGCUUUUGCUUCAUCUUUGGUGUAAGUGAUGCACUUUUU